GCAAAGCCUUGUAUCUCCUGUUCAUUUUGUGUCUCAAUGCACCGCUUAUCCAUGGCAAUGUUUGUCUUCGAAGCUUAACUUUUCUUUUUGGCGCAUGUUCUUCACAUGUAUCUUUGAAUAUAUCUGUCCAUACUGAAUACUUGUCUUCGACAUCUUCGAACAUUUCACAAGUGGACCAUGGAGCAUUCUGUAGAUCCAACUUGAAUUUUUCGAACUCCAUUUUUUUGCAGUUUCUUAUGGUUACUAUCCUGGGAGGUACCUUUCAUGGCUUAAAGUCCAUAGAGAAGGAUGCUAGGUUGUGAUCGGAUAUUCCAGUGUCUGCUGUUUUAAUAUUUUCCACCAAAUCAGCUUUGCUAGUGAUUAUCAAGUCGAUCAUUGUUUCUGUGGUAGGCGUUACCUUGUGAAAUCUUUGUUUAUGACGGAACAGUCAAAUUGAACAAGCGCAGACAUAAGUUUUUCUUGUAGUCUUAACUCAUGUCCGUGUGCUGUUUUGCUGAAAUUGACGUUAAAAUCCCCCACCAAAACUAAGUUCUUGUAUUUG